UUUGACAUGUUAUGAGAAAUAAAGAUAUAUACUCUCUAUUGCAAACUAUAUUACAAGGAAAAGUAUUGGGUAAAAGAUGGCCCGGAAGAAGAAAAAUAUCAUUGGUGGAGGAAGCUACGGACUUGGUUUUGAAAAAGCUGAGUAGAACUGUUUCGAUCUGUUACAAAGAAAGUUAUAGUUGCCAACAUCCAAAACGGACAGAAAAAAGCGAGUUUACCUUGAGGGAAAAAAAAUCAGAAUUUUCGACUGGCAAAUCAGGAGUAACUCAGAGUAAUAAACUUGGCCCACUUCUAUACAAAUAGUAUAUGUAUAUACCUUUAAAAUUGUAAAUUCCUUAAAAUAUUGCAAAUAUCAUCUUUAUGCACAUGA